ACUACAUUCCUAUAUUCUUCCCAAGUGAUCAGACCCUUUUUCCACAAAUCAGAAGCCUUGGCUAAAAUGCUGUUAGCGUGCACAGCAACAUUUACUGCAGAUGAAUUAUCUGGAUUUGAUAUUUUCCUACCAUGCUAAAACUGUAAUACAUAGGGUUUCUUUAAAAAUAAUUCUGAUUCAGUAAAGCAAAGUUGCUGUGCAGGUGAAAGGAAAUAUAGUGUAUUAGCACCUCUGAAGCAAACAGUUUUGAAUUUGAUUUUGGGGGUAAGUUCACUUCAUGGACUCAAAACUGAAAAGAAGCUAAAGAUUUAUAGUAGUCUAUUGGAUCCAGGUUUUCUUAGGGAUUUUUUACUGUGUCUUCCCAAAUUUAAAUAAAAAGAAAGAAAAAAGCAUAUUUUCAUUCCAAAAAGUACAGUACCAUUGUCAGCUCUGAAUACUGUUGUCACUGCUGCCAACAAGCCACAGGAUUUGCAGAGCUCGCUGCAGGACCAAGGCCAGGCAGGCUCAUGCUGCAUGGGCUCCUCUUGACCUGCCUGCAGCUUUGUCUUUGUUUUCCCCAGUGCAGCUGUGACAACUGUUUCUCUGAUCAGCCAGGUUUCUGAGGCUGAUUGGUAUUGCUUUUGUGGUACAACUCUAGAAACACACAGUUAUUCUAGGCUGCAAUGCUGUGUGGGUAGGAUGGGAGGGGACAGGGCACAGGCUGGAACUGGAGAACCUACAGCCAUCAUGGACUCACCUGGAGCCAGGUGAAGAAAAACAGAUGUGGAGCUGGACAAGAGUGGUAUUAGGGGUAGCAAGAAACAAGGAAAUAGUAAAAGAUGCCAUAUAGUAAAUUUAGAAGUAACAUAGAGCUGAAAACCGGAAAGGCACACAAAUGAUCUGAAGUGAAUCCUAGAACAAAGACCGAAAAAGCACCAACAAAAGUAUCAUAUUCCUUGUAGGAGAAUUCUGCAUGCUGACUCCUCCCUUCCUCCCACAAAUGAUGCCACUCCUCUAAAGGCCCAGAGGAGCAGUGGACAGAGCUAUGAAGAGCUAUGAACAGUUCCAUGCUAGCAUGCAAAUCUCAAGAGUUGUGGGAAAAGAUGAAGAGGCAGGGCAGGACUGAAGAGCUGUAGGAAAAUAGGAAGAGAAAGGACUGAAUGGUAAAGAACAGGUAGACAAAGGGCAGGCAUGGAGACGUAAGUACAAAACGAUUUGUGUAUGGCCAUGGAGGGUGUCACUGAUGCAAGCAGAAUGAAAGUGCAGGUAAUGAACAACUUCUUGAAUUUAUCUAGGUAGGUUCUCUGUAUUUAGCUCUUCUCUUUGUCGUAGCAUUGCCAGUAACAGCUUACAUUUUCCAUCCACAUAAUGUAAAACCUGAAAUAUUGGCCAAUUACACUUAGAAAAACAGUUAGUUUCAAACUUUUCUUUUUUUAGCUUGGAGCUUUCUUCUGAGACUCUACAAGACUGCAAACAGCUUUUCCUUGAGCAAUUUAAAUCUAAAUACAUAUUUAGUGAACAUCAUUUACCUCCAAUAACAUUCUUGCUGUCUCAUAAAUCUGUCAUUAUUGAAUUUAUCAAGAGAUUUCUCCAUUUCUGUAAAAGGCAUUUAAUUGUAAUUGUUAAGAAUUCCCCAUGGCUUUAUAUCAAGUUAUUGCUGACUUCUUCCAUUGUACCAACUGUAAUUUAAAAAAAAAUGUUUCUAAUUUUUCAUUUAACUCUUACGAAGCAAUAUAAUUAAACAGUUUGAAAGAAAAAUGUUAGACAUUUAAACCAUUUCCUAUA